AUUGCAUACACUCAGUCUUCAGGAGGAGGCAUCCCCUCUGGGUGCAGAACUUCCACCGUGGCUGCUUGCUCAGGAUAAACUGGUGGGACCAUGACUCAUUUUGUCACUGGGACCACAGGAGGAGGGGCCAGAAGACAAUGAAGUGUGCGGUGAGCACUCUCACAUUUCGUUAGAUGCACCGUCUCUGAACCAGCUUACUCAGAACUUCAGGAUGGCGGUGUGCAGUUACCAACUGUUAAGUCAAAGAUUCUGGACUGUUUAGUGACACCACAGGAUGCGAAUACCAAGGAUCCAAACACUGAUAAACUCAGAGAAAGUCUUGGGUAUGUGAGUCCCAAGCUGGAGGCUUCAGGGGAGUUGGUGCCAGUGCUCAAGGGACUUACCAUCCUUGGCUGAUGUGACCAGGUCUCCUGCUCAGGAUCACACGAUAUGGCGAACCUGACUUUACCCUUGGGAAUCGGUGGUAGCUCUCUUUGUUUGAAGGUUGCUUUCA
ensembl:lincRNA D6Ertd474e DNA segment, Chr 6, ERATO Doi 474, expressed